CUCGAUGGUAGUGUAUUGGACUACCAUGGCUAUCACGGGUAACGGGGAAUUAGGGUUCGAUUCCGGAGAGGGAGCGUGAGAAACGGCUACCACAUCUAAGGAAGGCAGCAGGCGCGCAAAUUACCCAAUCCUGAUUCAGGGAGGUAGUGACAAGAAAUAACAACUCGGGGGCUCUAAGCCUUACGAGAUUGCAAUGAGAACAAUUUAAACAACUUAUCGAGGAACAAUUGGAGGGCAAGUCUGGUGCCAGCAGCCGCGGUAAUUCCAGCUCCAAUAGCGUAUAUUAAAGUUGUUGCAGUUAAAAAGCUCGUAGUUGAACUUCUGCCCGGUCCUCUGCGUGCUCCGGUACGCCUAGGGUCGGUCAUCAGUCAGAGAGCUUUGGUGGGCCUUCACUGGCCGCCGGGUAAUCUGACGCUUUACUUUGAAAAAAUCAGAGUGUUCAAGGCAGGCAAUCGCCCUGAAUACACAAGCAUGGAAUAAUGGAAGAGGACUUUGGUCCAUUUUGUUGGUUAUUGGACCUAAGUAAUGAUUAAUAGGGACAGUUGGGGGCAUUAGUAUUUAAUUGUCAGAGGUGAAAUUCUUGGAUUUAUUAAAGACUAACUUAUGCGAAAGCAUUUGCCAAGGAUGUUUUCAUUAAUCAAGAACGAAAGUUAGGGGAUCAAAGACGAUCAGAUACCGUC
rnacentral:rRNA from 1 species